rnacentral:rRNA from 1 species
AUUGAACGUUGGCGGCAGGCCUAAUACAUGCAAGUCGAGCGGAAACGAUGGGAGCUUGCUCUCAGGCGUCGAGCGGCGGACGGGUGAGUAACGCGUAGGAAUCUACCCAGUAGCGGGGGAUAGCCCGAGGAAACUCGGAUUAAUACCGCAUACGCCCCACGGGGGAAAGGCCGGGAUCUUCGGACCGGUCACUAUUGGAGGAGCCUGCGUAGGAUUAGCUUGUUGGUGAGGUAAAGGCUCACCAAGGCUACGAUCCUUAGCUGGUCUGAGAGGACGAUCAGCCACACUGGAACUGAGACACGGUCCAGACUCCUACGGGAGGCAGCAGUAGGGAAUAUUGUGCAAUGGGCGAAAGCCUGACACAGCCAUGCCGCGUGUGUGAAGAAGGCCCUAGGGUUGUAAAGCACUUUCAGUAGGGAGGAAUUAGUAGGGUUAAUAACUCUGCGAAAUGACGUUACCUACAGAAGAAGCACCGGCAAACUCCGUGCCAGCAGCCGCGGUAAUACGGAGGGUGCGAACGUUAAUCGGAAUUACUGGGCGUAAAGCGCGCGUAGGUGGUUUAUUAAGUGGGAUGUGAAAGCCCCGGGCUUAACCUGGGAACUGCAUUCCAAACUGAUGAACUAGAGUACGAUAGAGGGGGGUAGAAUUCAGAGUGUAGCGGUGAAAUGCGUAGAUAUUCUGAGGAAUACCGGUGGCGAAGGCGGCCCCCUGGAUUGAUACUGACACU